rnacentral:rRNA from 1 species
GAUGAACGCUAGCGGCAGGCUUAAUACAUGCAAGUCGAGGGGCAUCAAGGUACACGAAAGUGUAUUGUUGGCGACCGGCGGACGGGUGAGUAAUAGGUAGGUAACCUACCUCAUACUGAGGCAUAGCUGGGAGAAAUUCCAGGUAAUUCCUCAUGAGGUUAUAUGACACAUGUGAUAUAAUCAAAGGUAUCGCAAGGUACUGGUAUGAGAUGGGCUUACUGACCAUUAGCUAGUUGGUGAGAUAAGAGCUCACCAAGGCGAAGAUGGUUAGGGGUUUUGAGAGAGAGAUCCCCCACAUUGGAACUGAGAUACGGUCCAGACUCCUACGGGAGCAGCAGUAGGGAAUAGUUGGGCAAGUGGGCGGAAGCCUGACCCAGCCAUGCCGCGUGAAGGAAGACGGCCUUAGUGGGUUAGUAAACUUCUUUACUAUGCGACUAACUAGUAUUUACGAGAUAAUUCUAUAGAAUGUAGCAUAACAAAAAGCACCGG